UACGUAGGGUGCAAGCGUUGUCCGGAAUUAUUGGGCGUAAAGAGCUCGUAGGCGGUCUGUCGCGUCGGAUGUGAAAACCCAGGGCUCAACCCUGGGCCUGCAUUCGAUACGGGCAGACUAGAGGUAGGCAGGGGAGACUGGAAUUCCAGGUGUAGCGGUGAAAUGCGUAGAUAUCUGGAGGAACACCGGUGGCGAAGGCGGCAUCCUGGACCGGCAUUGACGCUGAGGAGCGAAAGCCAGGGGAGCAA
rnacentral:rRNA from 1 species